rnacentral:rRNA from 1 species
UGGGGAAUAUUGCACAAUGGGGAAACCCUGAUGCAGCGAUGCCGCGUGGAGGAAGAAGGUUUUCGGAUUGUAAACUCCUUUUGUAGGGGGCGAUAAUGACGGUACCCUAAGAAAAAGCUCCGGCUAACUACGUGCCAGCAGCCGCGGUAAUACGUAGGGAGCGAGCGUUGUCCGGAAUUACUGGGUGUAAAGGGAGCGUAGGCGGGACGGCAAGUCAGAUGUGAAAUAUAUGGGCUCAACCUGUAGACUGCAUUUGAAACUGCUGUUCUUGAGUGAAGUAGAGGUAAGCGGAAUUCCUAGUGUAGCGGUGAAAUGCGUAGAUAUUAGGAGGAACAUCGGUGGCGAAGGCGGCUUACUGGGCUUUUACUGACGCUGAGGCUCGAAAGCGUGGGGAGCAAACAGGAUUAGAUACC